rnacentral:rRNA from 1 species
GAUUAACGCUGGCGGCGUGCAUAACACAUGCAAGUCGAACGAUGAAACUUAAAUGAUUUCUUCGGAAUGAACUUAAGUGGAUUAGUGGCGGACGGGUGAGUAACGCGUGAGUAAUCUGCCUUACACAAGGGGAUAGCCGUUGGAAACGACGAAUAAUACCCUAUGAAACUAUCACUUCGCAUGAAGCGAUAGUCAAAGUGUUAGCGGUGUAAGAUGGACUUGCGUCUGAUUAGCUAGUUGGUGAGAAAAAAGCCCACCAAGGCAACGAUCAGUAGCCGGCUUGAGAGAGUGUACGACCACAUUGGGACUGAGACACGGCCCAGACUCCUACGGGAGGCAGCAGUGGGGAAUUUUGCACAAUGGGGGAAACCCUGAUGCAGCGACGCCGCGUGAUUUAGAAGGCCUUCGGGUUGUAAAAAUCUUUUGUAUAGGAAGAAAAUGACAGUACUAUACGAAUAAGGUCCGGCUAAUUACGUG